AUGCGGUAUGACGGUACCCUUUCGAAUAAGAGGUUGCUAACUCUGUGCCAGCAGCAGCGGUAAUACAGAGACCUCGAGCGUUAUCCGGAUUUACUGGGCGUAAAGCGUCUGUAGGGGGUUUGUUAAGUUCCAAGUAAAAUCUUAAGGCUCAACUUUAAGUUCGCUUGGAAAACUAAUAAACUGGAGUCCAGCAGAGGUGCAUGGAACUUGCGGUGUAGGAGUGAAAUCCGUUGAUAUCGCAAGGAACACCAAAGGCGAAGGCAUUGCACUGGGCUGGUACUGACCCUGAGAGACGAAAGCGUGGGGAGCAAAACGGAUUAGAUACCCGUGUAGUCCACGCCGUAAACGAUGGAUACUAGAUGUUCGGGGAUUCGACCCCCUGGGUGUCACAGCUAACGCGUUAAGUAUCCCGCCUGGGAAGUACGGCCGCAAGGCUAAAACUCAAAGGAAUAGACGGGGAUCCGCACAAGCGGUGGAGCGUCUGGUUUAAUUUGAUAGUAAGCAAUGGACCUCACCAAGGUUUGACAUCCUAUGACAACCCUGGAAACAGGGCUUCCUUCGGGCAUAGUGACAGGUGCUGCAUGGUCGUCGUCAGUUCGUGCCGUGAGGUGUUCCGUUAAGUCGGGAAACGAGCGAAACCCUCGUCGCAUGUUACAAAUUUCAUGCGAGACUGCCCGGGUCAACCGGGAGGAAGGCGGGGAUGACGUCAGAUCAGCAUGGCCCUUAUACCUUGGGCUACACAGGCGCUACAAUGGCCGGUACAAAGGGUUGCAAAACCGCGAGGUGAAGCUAAUCCCAUAAAGCCGGUCCGAGUUCGGAUUGGAGGCUGCAACUCGCCUCCAUGAAGUUGGAAUCGCUAGUAAUCGUGGAUCAGACAUACCACGGUGAUACGUUCCCGGAUCUUGUACUCACCGCCCGUCACACCAAGAGAGUUGG
rnacentral:rRNA from 1 species